UACGGAGGGGGCUAGCGUUGUUCGGAAUUACUGGGCGUAAAGCGCACGUAGGCGGCUUGGUAAGUUAGAGGUGAAAGCCUGGAGCUCAACUCCAGAAUUGCCUUUAAGACUGCCGAGCUAGCAGGUGAGAGAGGUGAGUGGAAUUCCGAGUGUAGAGGUGAAAUUCGUAGAUAUUCGGAAGAACACCAGUGGCGAAGGCGACACACUGGGCCAUUACUGACGCUGAGGCGCGAAAGCGUGGGGAGCAAACAGG
rnacentral:rRNA from 1 species